GAUGAACGCUGGCGGCGUGCCUAAUACAUGCAAGUCGAGCGAACGGACGAGAAGCUUGCUUCUCUGAUGUUAGCGGCGGACGGGUGAGUAACACGUGGAUAACCUACCUAUAAGACUGGGAUAACUUCGGGAAACCGGAGCUAAUACCGGAUAAUAUUUUGAACCGCAUGGUUCAAAAGUAAAAGACGGUCUUGCUGUCACUUAUAGAUGGAUCCGCGCUGCAUUAGCUAGUUGGUAAGGUAACGGCUUACCAAGGCAACGAUGCAUAGCCGGCCUGAGAGGGUGAUCGGCCACACUGGAACUGAGACACGGUCCAGACUCCUACGGGAGGCAGCAGUAGGGAAUCUUCCGCAAUGGGCGAAAGCCUGACGGAGCAACGCCGCGUGAGUGAUGAAGGCCUUCGGAUCGUAAAACUCUGUUAUUAGGGAAGAACAUAUGUGUAAGUAACUGUGCACAUCUUGACGGUACCUAAUCAGAAAGCCACGGCUAACUACGUG
rnacentral:rRNA from 1 species